rnacentral:rRNA from 1 species
UACAGAGGGGGCAAGCGUUGUUCGGAAUUACUGGGCGUAAAGGGCGCGUAGGUGGCCUUCUAAGUUGAACGUGAAAUCCCAGGGCUCAACCCUGGACAGGCGGUGGAAACUGCCAAGCUGGAGUACGGUAGGGGCAGAGGGAAUUUCCGGUGGAGCGGUGAAAUGCGUAGAGAUCGGAAAGAACACCAACGGCGAAAGCACUCUGCUGGGCCGACACUGACACUGAGAGACGAAAGCUAGGGGAGCGAAUGGG